UCCCAGGAUGUGGGUUCCUUUUCUUUUUAACAACUCCCUCUCAGGAGUGUUAGUUCCAUUCUGAUUCCUUUUCUCUAUAUAUGUCUUUUUUUUCUUUUGUUCUACCCAGUUAGGUGGAGGACUUCUUACCAUUCUUGGAGCUCUAAGUUCUUCUGCCAGCCCUCAGUAGAUGUUCUGUGUGAAUCAUUCUGCAUUUAGAACAAUGUGUGUUUUUGAUAUGUUUGUGGGAGAAGGUAAGCAGGACGUUCUACUCCUCUGACAUCUUGAGUCUUCCUCCCUCUCUCUCUCUUUAUCUCCCUUUUUUUCUUUCUAUAUUAGGUUAAAACAUGGUUAUUUUCCAUAAUUCAGUAAAGAAGGCUUUUAUUUCAAAGGACACUGGGAAAAAAAUCAGUAGCUAUUUCUUUGUGCAUGAGUUCUGUAUGGAGUUAUGACCACAAAAUCUAGAGCUGGGAGGAGUUUCUGUGUCCAUAGCAGUGACUGCUAGUGAACCCCGACACCCUGCCCCUUCCUUCUGCCUUACUAACAGAACCCUGGUGACAGUGUACCCAGGUGAAAGAGUAUACCAUUUGGCCUUCCCUUGCAGGUAGGCACAACCAAUGAAUGCCAAGUAGAUGUCACUGGGAAGGGUUUUGGGGGUCGUUUAAGAGGGCAGUGGCUUCCUGCUGCCUGGAACAUAGAUGAGCUGGCCAGAAUGGCAGUUAUCAUUUUAAAGCCACAUAAUAAGGAUGAUGAAGCAGAAAAAAUAAGAGUUAAAGGACACCAGAAAUAUCGUAAAACUGCAAUACCUGCAGUUUUCUUUUUCAUGAGAGAAAAUAAACUUCUGUUUCGGUACAUUUUGAUUAUUAGCAGAUGAACACAAUUCCUAACUGAUACAGUGACUAUUUGUGUGGCUUUUGCAUUAUGUGUAUAAAGAGGCACAGAGAACUUAGCCCAGUCCCACUUCAGUGUUAUUCUUUUGAUAAUAUGUGCAUCCAAUAUGAAAUUAUAACAGAAUUUAUUAUAACAUAAAAUCUUAUAGGUGUUUCUCUCUUUGAGACAUGCUUACUAACUGAAGACAAAACUUCAAAUUAAAUGCAUUAAGUCCAAAAUCCCCUAGAAUUUCUAAUUACCAUUCUUAUAUGGGAGGCACAGAUUAGGUGUAGAGCCCUCUUGGGGUGAAAUCAUGAACACUGAAUCCCAUUGCUUCCUUCUUUCCUUCAUUGAAGUAUAUCUAUUCCUAUUGCCAUGGCUUAGGUCAGCCUCUUGUUUCCUCACACUGGGAUAAAUAUAAUGCCCUCCUGGCCUUUAAGCUUUUCCCUGCUGAUUCAUUCUACAUAUUUCCUACAUAUUCCUUUAUAAUGAAAUGUAUUUCCCCUUCUGCUGAGAAACUUUCAGUAGCGUCCUAUUUCCAACUGAUCAAAAUUCAAACAGCUUAGCCUGGACAUUUCUUGGAUUUUUUACGUAUGUAGUAUGGUUGCUUUUAUGACUUCAAAUCUCUUCUCAGACUCUCUCCUUUACCUUGUAACUUACCUCCAGUUCCAACUGUCUCUCAAGGUUCAGGUCCAUAGCCAGCUUAAGGCCAAGGCUCCUGACUUUGAACUGCUUGCAGUGAAGGCCCUUUAAGUCCUUGAAGUUGGCUGAUCUGGCACCAUCUUCUCUGGGUUGCUCACAUUUCACUGCAGUUUCCUUUCAGCUGUGUUUCUCAGAGUUUGUGUAAACAUUACAUUCAUUAAAAACUACGAUUUGGAUGAUUUGGAUCAUUUUCUCAUCCUUGCUGCCUAACUUGCUUUAGUCUUUAGGAGAAGAAUCAGAUUUUCUUGUACAAGGAGGGAAAUAUAUAAUAUAUGUAUAUAUGGUGGUUCUGGCUGAAAACUUGGUAGAAUUAAACUAAAUUGUCCAUUUUUAUAUAAUAUAAAUUAUACCUGAAAUGUUAAAAGUAUUUGGGAGACUUACAUAAAAUGCAUGAUCUUUGCUGGCUUAUUGAACUGAUGUUAUUUUGGUUCUUCCCCCCUCCCCCUUUUUAGCAAUGUGUUCUUAAUUAAACUGAAUGGUGAAUUGACCCUACAGAGGCUUGACAAAAUGGACAUGCCAAUGUAUACAUUUCAUGUAAGGUAUUAUUUUACUCUGAGAAGCUGAAAGAAUGCAGAGAACAUCAGUUGGGAAAAUUCAGAGUGGAAAUCCCAAGUCUCUGCCAUUUCCUCAGCAAGAGGGGCCUUUCACCCCACCCGUCUGAGGUCUUGCAUAGCCCAGGUGGAACUUACUAAAUUUCUUGUACCUUGACAUUAUCACCCCAAAACUCCUCUAAUGCACCAUGUCCCUUGGCCCUAAUAUCUCAGUUUCUUGUAUUAUUUCUAGUACAGAUCAGAAUUGACUGGAAGUACUACAACUAUGUAACAGUUGUAAGAAAGUGACCAUGAGUUAACUUGUGUUAUAAGGCUUAACAAGAAUUGAACACAGUUGGUUGGCAGAGGGCUUUUCACAGAUUGAAACAUCCUCUUCUGUUUGUGAUAUGAGCAUGUGUUUAUAUACAUUUAUAAAUAAUAUAUACCAUAUAUCUAUAUACAUAUAUAUAUAUAUAUACACACACACACGUAUAUAUAUACUUAUACUUUAAAGAGGGUAAGGAAUGUUUAUUCAAAAUAUCUAUAUGUAAAAACUAUAACUCAAAAAGAUAAUGAACCCCAAUAUUCAUUGCAGCACUGUUUACAAUAGCCAAGACAUAGAAACAACCUAAAUGUUCAUUGACAGAUAAAUGGAUUAAGAUGUGGUACACAUACACAACGGAAUACUACUCAGCCAUAAAAGAGUAAAAUAAUGCCUUUUGCAGCAACUUGGAUGUAACUAGAAAUUUUCAUACUAAGUAAGUCAGAAAGAGAAAGACAAAUACCAUAUGAUAUCAUUUAUACGUGGAAUCUAAAAUAUGGCACAGGAGUUUCCAUUGUGGCACAAUGGGAUCAGCAGCAUCUUGGGAGCACUGGGAUGCAUGUUCAAUCCCCUGCUUGGCACAGUGGCUUAAGGAUCCAGUGUUGCCACAGCUGCUGCUUAGGAUCUGAUCCCUGGACUAGGAACUCCAUAUGCUGUGGGGCUGCCAAAAAGGAAAGAAAAAUGGCAAAAUUUAACCUAUCAGAGUUCCCAUUGAGGUUCAGUGGGUUAAAAACCCUGACAUAGUGAAUGUGAGGAUGUGGAUUUGAUCCCUGGCCUGGCUCAGUGGGUUAAGUAUCCAGUGUUGCAGCUCACAGAUACAGCUUGGAUCCAGUGUUUCUGUGGCUGUGGCUACAACUCCUUGGAACUUCCAUAUGCCAUAGGUGUGACCAUAAAAAGAAAAACUGAAACUAUCUACAAAACAGAAACAGACCCACAGGCAUAGAGAACAGACUUGUGGUUGCCAAGUGGGUUGGGGGAGGGAGUGGGAUGGAAGAGGAGUUUGGGAUUAGUAGAUGCAAAGUAUUACAUUUAGAAUGGAUAAGCAAUGAGGUCUUACUGUACAGCGCAGGGAACUAUAUCCAAUCUCUUGGGAUAGACAUGAUGGAAGAUAAUAUAAGAAAAGGAGUGCAUAUAUAUGUAUGACUGGGUCACUUUGCUGUGCAGCAGAAAUUGGCACAUUAUAAAUCAAGUAUACUGUAAAAAAAAUAAGGCACAAAAUAUCCAUAUGUAUAUAAAUGUAGAAGAAAACCCUAAGCUCACUCUGUGGAUAGUCACUACCUAUCGCAUUAUCUUCAUUAUUAUUUGCUCUUCUGGGAGAGUACAAUAGCAAAGUAGCUCCUAUGAAUGAGGUAGCAUUUUGAGUUAUAAGGCUGUUUGUAUUUUUAAAUGACAUUGAGGAUUAAUUUCCCUUAUGAUCACCUGUUAUUGUUUUGCUCAGGCUUCUAUAUGACAGAAAAAUACAAUAAGUUAGAUUUGAUUUAAAGACUCGAAUAUCAAGUCAACUGAAAAUCAAUGUAUCCUGAGAGAAAGUAAUAAAUUUGUGAAACAAAUUUAGAAAGCUUGAGAUUUUGUGCCCUCUGCUAAAUCUGGAGACCUUAAAGGGAUUCACUUGGUCUCUUGACUAAUAAAUGGGCAAAUUUGUUUCUUUAUAGUGCUCAUCUCAUGCAGUAACUUUUCCUUAUCGAUUCUGCUGCCCUCUUACUGGAACACAGAUUAUGUUAUUCCCUCUAGAGUAUGUGCCCUUAAAGAAGGAAAAACGUGUUCUUUUGAAGACUAUGCCUGUGAUAUACAUUCAUUACCAAGGAAAGAAUGUGGGCACUUUUUAAGUGUGCCAUAUAUGAUUUACUAGAAGAAAGACAGGUUAGGGAAUUACAAAACUUGGUGGUAAUGUCUGCUUUAGCCCAAGAUGUUGUGUUGGAAUCAAGUGGGGUGAGACUGCUUUACAGGGUAGAAUAUAUAAAUUGGAAGAAACAAGGCAGUGUAUGGGAAACAAUGUGAAAACAUUUGGAAUAUUAAGAAUGAAAGAAAAAGUUUUGCUUUUGAUUGUUGGAGAUGGCACUCAGAGCCAUUUGCAUUUCAACCUUACUUUACUAUACAUUUAUGUCACAAUGAAGAAACUUAUGGGAGCCUUCGCAUAAUAGAACCUUAUAGGUUAAGUAUCAGAUCUUUGAAAUUAGCUUUUUUUUAACCUAAUUAUUAAAAGUCAUUUUUAUAUCCCUUAAAGGAUCUUUUAUUUAUUUAUUUAUUUAUUUAUUUAUUUAUUUAAAUCUUGGGAGUUCCCAUUGGGCUCAGUGGAAAUGAACCUGAUUAGUAUCCAUGAGGAUGCCAGUUUGAUCCCUGGUGCCUCUCAGUGGGUUAAGGAUUUAGUGUUGCCAUGAGCUGUGGUGUGGGUUGCAGCCACAGCUUGGAUCUGGUGUUGCUGUGGCUAUAGCUUCAAUAUGCUGCACCUGUGGC
rnacentral:lncRNA from 1 species